rnacentral:misc_RNA from 1 species
UUCUAAGUUUGACCUGUAGACUUUCUUUAUAAAAUGAGAUUUUUUUUAGUUGUAUGCAAUAAGUGUUGUCCCUUUUGCUUUGCACUUAAUGUGAAAGUAGUUAUCCUUUGUGCAGAUGUUACAAUCAUUACUGGGUAAUUUAAUUUGUGAAAUUUGAUGUAUAUUUCUCUUCUGUUUAAGUAUCAUACAUGUUCAGUUGUGCUUAGGAUUGAUUAGUCAAUGUCUGAUGGUGUAGGUUUCCAAAAGGGGUUCCUUGGG